GAGGUGAUGCCGUGGUCUUCGGACCGAAGUGAUUGAUCCCAUGCUUCCGAGAAAAGCUGCGGGCUGCGAUGAUCGACUGGUGACCGUACCGCAAACCGACUCAGGUGGGCAGGUGGAGAACACCAAGGCGCUUGAGAGAACUCUGGUUAAGGAACUAGGCAAAUUGACACCGUAACUUCGGGAUAAGGUGUGCCAUCGGUAUGUGAAGGGCCUGCGCCCGGAGCAGAGGAUGGUUGCAACAAAAGCGGCGGUAGCGACUGUUUACCAAAAACAUAGGCCUCUGCAAAACCGCAAGGUGACGUAUAGGGGCUGACGCCUGCCCGGUGCCGGAAGGUUAAGGGGAGUGGUUAGGGCAACCGAAGCUACGAACCGAAGCCCCGGUAAACGGCGGCCGUAACAAUAACGGUCCUAAGGUAGCGAAAUUCCUUGUCGGGUAAGUUCCGACCUGCACGAAUGGCGUAACGACUUCCGCGCUGUCUCGACCAGGGACUCAGCGAAAUUGACAUUGGGGUGAAGAUGCCCCAUACCCGCGGCAAGACGGAGAGACCCUGUGU
rnacentral:rRNA from 1 species